rnacentral:tRNA from 1 species
CCCUGAUAGCUCAGUUGGUAAAGAGUCUGCCUGCAAUGCAGGAGACCCGGGUUCAAUUCCUGGAUCAGGAA